rnacentral:tRNA from 1 species
GGCGCCUUGGCGGAGUGGUUACGCAGGGCUCUGCAAAAGCUCGUACACCGGUUCAAAUCCGGUAGGUGCCUCCA